GCCCUCUAUACCCUCAAUCCGCAGAGCGUGAGACUCUUCACCUCAAGGUAGCGGGUUCGAGUCCCACAUUGGGGGCA